rnacentral:tRNA from 1 species
GGAUGGAGCUCAGUGGUAGAGUGCCUGCCUCACAUGUGUGAGGCACUGAGUUCGAUCCUCAGCGCCA